rnacentral:lncRNA from 1 species
GCACUCCUUCCUCACCGCCAGGUCUGCCACCUGAAGAAGGAAAGAACAAAAAAGCAAGGGGAAAAAAGAAGACCGGGAGCAGAUCUGAGAAGGAGAAAACAAAAUAAAAAGCAUUGCUUGUUGCAUUUUCUUGGUUUUGCAGGUGAUGUUACUUCCCACCGCCGGUGUAGAAGGAGAGAGGAGGAGAAAAUGACUCAGAUCCACCCAUCUCUCAGGUUGUGCCCGCGGCGACGCAUGGAAAAGACGCGCCGCCACUGUU